GAUGAAGAACGUAGCGAAAUGCGAUAAGUAAUGUGAAUUGCAGAAUUCAGUGAAUCAUCGAACCUUUGAACGCACAUUGCGCCCAUUAGUAUUCUAGUGGGCAUGCCUGUUCGAGCGUCAUUUCAACCCUUAAGCCUAGCUUAGUAUUGGGAAUCGACUUUACUGUCGUUCCUCAAAUUCAACGGCGGAUUUAUAGCAAUCUCUGAACGUAGUAAUUUUUUUCCUCGUUUUUGAAAUACUAUAAACCUCAGCCGCUAAACCCCCAAUUUUUCUAUGGUUGACCUCGGAUCAGGUAGGAAUACCCGCUGAACUUAAGCAUAUCAAUAAGCGGAGGA
rnacentral:misc_RNA from 1 species